GGGGCAUUAGCUCAGUUGGUAGAGCGCUUGGUUCGCAAUCAAAAGGUCGAGGGUUCGACUCCCUUAUGCUCCA
rnacentral:tRNA from 1 species